rnacentral:ncRNA from 1 species
CUUCGGGGCAGGGUGAAAUUCCCUACCGACGGUGAUGACUGCUUCAGGCCGAAUUAUCUGGGCUGAAGCGAGUACAAGUCCGUGACCCGCGUGCGCCACAAAUGAAGCAUGCGGCUGAGCCGGUGAGAUUCCGGGACCGACAGUAUAGUCUGGAUGGGAGAAGGA